AAAGGGCGCGUAGGCGGAAUGCUUUGUCGGGCGUGAAAUUCCAGGGCUUAACCUUGGGACUGCGUUCGAGACGGGUAUUCUAGAGUGGAGAAGAGGGUCGUGGAAUUCCCAGUGUAGAGGUGAAAUUCGUAGAUAUUGGGAAGAACACCGGUGGCGAAGGCGGCGACCUGGUCUUUUACUGACGCUGAGGCGCGAAAGCGUGGGGAGCAAACAGGAUUAGAUACCCCUGU
rnacentral:rRNA from 1 species